UAGCUGAUCUGAGAGGAUGAUCAGCCACAUUGGGACUGAGACACGGCCCAAACUCCUACGGGAGGCAGCAGUAGGGAAUAUUGCACAAUGGAGGAAACUCUGAUGCAGCGAUGCCGCGUGAGUGAAGAAGGCCCUUGGGUUGUAAAGCUCUUUCGUCGGGGAAGAAAAUGACUGUACCCGAAUAAGAAGGUCCGGCUAACUUCGUGCCAGCAGCCGCGUGAAUACGAAGGGACCUAGCGUAGUUCGGAAUUACUGGGCUUAAAGAGUUCGUAGGUGGUUAAAAAAGUUGGUGGUGAAAUCCCAGAGCUUAACUCUGGAACUGCCAUCAAAACUUUUUAGCUAGAGUAUGAUAGAGGAAAGCAGAAUUUCUAGUGUAGAGGUGAAAUUCGUAGAUAUUAGAAAGAAUACCAAUUGCGAAGGCAGCUUUCUGGAUCAUUACUGACGCUGAGGAACGAAAGCAUGGGUAGCGAAGAGGAUUAGAUACCCUCGUAGUCCAUGCCGUAAACGAUGUGUGUUAGACGUUGGAAAUUUAUUUUCAGUGUCGCAGCGAAAGCAUUAAACACACCGCCUGGGGAGUACGACCGCAAGGUUAAAACUCAAAUGAAUUGACGGGGACCCGCACAAGUAGUGGAGCAUGUGGUUUAAUUCGAAGAUACGCGCAGAACCUUACCAACACUUGACAUGUUCGUCGCGACUCUAAGAGAUUAGAGUUUUCGGUUCGGCCGGACGAAACACAGGUGCUGCAUGGCUGUCGUCAGCUCGUGUCGUGAGAUGUUGGGUUAAGUCCCGCAACGAGCGCAACCCUCACUUUUAGUUGCCAUCAUUAAGUUGGGCACUCUGAAAGAACUGCCAGUGAUAAGCUGGAGGAAGGUGGGGAUGACGUCAAGUCCUCAUGGCCCUUACGUGUUGGGCUACACACGUGCUACAAUGGCAUUUACAAUAGGAAGCGAG
rnacentral:rRNA from 1 species